rnacentral:rRNA from 1 species
ACCCGCUGAACUUAAGCAUAUCACUAAGCGGAGGAAAAGAAAUUAACUAAGAUUGCCUCAGUAACGGCGAGUGAAGCGGCAAGAGCCCAAGCUGGAAAUCUUCACACUGCGUGUGACGAAUUGUAAUCUAAAGAGGGUUCGCUCAACGGGCGGUGGCGCAGAAGUGCCUUAGAACGGGCCGCCAGAGAGGGUGACAGCCCCGUAUGUGGUGCCACUGCCUAACGAGCGGGUCCCCAAAGAGUCGGGUUGUUUUGUAUUGCAGCCCUAAGUGGGAGAUAAACUUCUUCUAAGGCUAAAUACCUAUGGGAAACCGAUAGCGAACAAGUACUGUGAAGGAAAGAUGAAAAGAACUUUGAAAAGAGAGUCAAAAGACUUGAAAUCGUUGAGAAGGAAGCGGUAGAAAUUUAUUCUUCGGCGGUGAACGGUGACUUCUGCCUAUCCAUUGCCGGCUGCCAGCACUUCAAAAGGCUGCGGCUGGCACAUGGGGAAGCGGUUGUCUUGUUCUCCGUCGUGAGGCAAAAUGAGGUCGCACAUCCGCAGAGGCUUCCCAAACCUGGCCCGAUUCGUCGGGUAGUUUGGGUUCGCCGGUGGGCGUGCGGCCUGAGGGUGCUUCGUGCGAUUUUGCCAAAAUGGUUUU